AGAGUUUGAUCCUGGCUCAGGAUGAACGCUGGCGGCGUGCCUAACACAUGCAAGUCGAGCGAUUCUCUUCGGAGAAGAGCGGCGGACGGGUGAGUAACGCGUGGGUAACCUGCCUCAUACACAUGGAUAACAUACCGAAAGGUAUGCUAAUACAGGAUAAUAUAAGAGAUUCACAUGGAUUUCUUAUCAAAGCUCCGGCGGUAUGAGAUGGACCCGCGUCUGAUUAGCUAGUUGGUAAGGUAACGGCUUACCAAGGCGACGAUCAGUAGCCGACCUGAGAGGGUGAUCGGCCACAUUGGAACUGAGACACGGUCCAAACUCCUACGGGAGGCAGCAGUGGGGAAUAUUGCACGAUGGGCGAAAGCCUGAUGCCAGCAACGCCGCGUGAGUGAUGAAGGCCUUCGGGUCGUAAAACUCUGUCCUCAAGGAAGAUAAUGACGGUACUUGAGGAGGAAGCCCCGGCUAACUACGUGCCAGCAGCCGC
rnacentral:rRNA from 1 species